rnacentral:lncRNA from 1 species
UCCAGCUCGGCUCUCUCUUUGUGCGGGGUCUGACCUACCUCAUCGCAAGCCAACAGUGCUUGUGGUUUCCCUUUCCCAAUGGGUGAGCUCAUGCCGUGGAAGACCAUUGAUGGCCUGCUCUUCCAUUCAAAGUAUCUGCAAGCCCACUCAGGCUGUCCGAAAGAGGAGCUUCUUGAAGGAAAUUCCUCUGGGUUGUCUUUGUUCAUGUCCGUCACAGAGCUGCUGCUGGAAGCCUGCAGGAGGCGCGGCGUCCUCAUCCACAGCCUACAACACAGAGAUGCGAGACCCGUGGAGGCUGAUGAUCUGCUUCGAGAAAGAGGACACCAGCUCCAUCACAGCACACGGCAGAAGUUCAGACAGCAGCCCAGAGCUUCAUCACACUACAAGCACGG